rnacentral:misc_RNA from 1 species
UGGAGCCAAGACCUCUAGUCGCAA